rnacentral:rRNA from 1 species
CUCACACAAGCGGUGGAGGAUGUGGCUUAAUUCGAGGCUACGCGAAGAACCUUAUCCUGGUCUUGACAUAGUUAGGAAUUUUCGUGAAAGCGAGAAGUGCCCUUCGGGGAGCCUUUUUACAGGUGCUGCAUGGCUGUCGUCAGCUCGUGUCGUGAGAUGUCGGGUUAAGUCCCUUAACGAGCGAAACCCUUAUCCUUAGUUGCCAGCGAGUAAUGUCGGGGACUCUAGGGAGACUGCCGGUGUGAAACCGGAGGAAGGUGGGGAUGACGUCAAGUCCUCAUGGCCUUUAUGACCAGGGCUGCACACGUCCUACAAUGGUGCAUAUAAAGGGAAGCGAACUCGCGAGGGUAAGCAAACCCCAAAAAGUGUACCUCAGUUCGGAUUGCAGGCUGCAACUCGCCUGCAUGAAGCCGGAAUCGCUAGUAAUCGUGGGUCAGCAUACCACGGUGAAUAUGUUCCUGAGCCUUGUACACACCGCCCGUCAAGCCACGAAAGUGGGGUGCACGCGAAGUCGCCAGGCCAACCCGCAAGGGAGGCAGGCGCCGAACGUGAAUUCCGCGAUUGGGACUAAGUCGUAACAAGGUA